rnacentral:rRNA from 1 species
GUGUCAGCAGCCGCGGUAAUACGGAGGGUGCAAGCGUUGUUCGGAAUUAUUGGGCGUAAAGAGCGUGUAGGCGGUCGGGUAAGUCAGAUGUGAAAGCCUUCUGCUUAACAGAAGAAGUGCAUUUGAGACUGCUCGGCUGGAGUACGGGAGAGGAGAGUGGAAUUCCCGGUGUAGAGGUGAAAUUCGUAGAUAUCGGGAGGAACACCGGUGGCGAAGGCGGCUCUCUGGCCCGAUACUGACGCUGAGACGCGAAAGCGUGGGGAGCAAACAGGAUUAGAAACCCUAGUAGUCC